AUUUAUAAGCUCCUCAGAGUUGCCCCUCUCCCAAAAAAAGGUUGGUGAUCCCCAGCUUAGUAGCUGUGUAACGUCUAGUCAUCUCAUACUUUUUAUGUAUUAUAUUUUAAAAUUUGAAGCUUAAAUAUUUAUCAUAAAUCUAUACAAAAUGUUUCAAAAGAACAUGAACGCAUUCACAUAUUUCUCUUUAAUUCCAGGUUAAGCUUGUAUGCCAAAUAGUGGUGGCUAAAAUAACUAAUACACCUUUUUGAUUGGAAAAACAAAUGGAUCUGACAAAUGUUUUGUCUAGAAUUGUGAUGAUAAUCAUCAUUCUUACUUUCAUAAUUUGAUAUUUUUAAAUGUAGUUUGUUAUGUGUAUCAUAGUAUAUGAAGGUAGUUGUUUAUACUGUGGUAAUCAAAACUGUGUAUCUCAUGUAGGAUUUGAGGUUAUGGUGAUGAGUAUAAAAAAUGGCUGCCCUGCAUGAUUACAUGGCAUUACAGCCCAGAAGACAGCCAUCUUCAUUGUGUAUCUCACACAUGAAUCCAAAUGAGUUGUCUAUAUCAGAAACAUAGGCAACUAUUUACAAGACUACACAUCAUUACAACCCAGAUGACCACAGCUGACAUAACCUGCAUGAAGAACUGAAAUUUCACACUCUUGGAUUUCAGACCAUUUCUGUGUUGCGUGUUGAAACAUUCUGUAUUAUUCUGUCUUGUCUCCUCUCUCUUUAUUUUUAAUUUUUAUAUACAUUGAUCUUUUCCAGGUCAGUAGGUUAUGUAAGGUUCAGUUACAUAUGAAACUACCUGCAAUAUUAUGGAGUAUACCAGAAGUAAAGUAUAUUUUGUGAUGUGUCACAUUUUGUGAGUGGAAUGCAGCUCUUUCUGGGUAAAAUAUAUUUGUAUCAAGUAGUAAACAGAAAAGCUUUUAUAUAAUACUCUUGAAGAUGGUGCAGUAUUUGCAUUUACAUAUCCAAGUGUACCUUAAAGUACUUAAUCCUCCAUGCAUACCAAAGUUUCAGAUGUUUAUGCUGAUUAAUAAGGUGUGCUGUAAUAUUUAAGGUUAAUCUCAACAGAAUAAUUCAACUUCCUCAGUGGCCUUUGUGUGUGCAAUUACUUUUAUAUAUUAGCCUUUUACAUAACUGUUUUGAAUGUGUAGUGCCUUGCUGUUUGUAUUAUGUUUUAUGAUGUUGCAUUCCAGUGGACUGCUUCCAUUUUAUAAAAAGACAUGUUGGCCAACUGUGUAUGGCAAAACAACCUUGCACAAUAUUUUGUGUCCUUUAAGUGUGAAACUGAAAUCUGUUAUUGUAAGUUUAGUUUAUAUCGACAAACAACUUGGUAUGUGGGUGACAACAUAAUUCUAGAAAAUUGAUAGCAAAUCUAAUAGUGGUUUAAAAAAAAUUUCAAUUCAGAACUGAAACCUGAGUUAAAUGUUUAAAGCAAGGCAUGGCCAAGACUUCGACUGUCACUGUUGCAAGUCAUCCAUAAUGGUCAUUCACGCACCAGGUAGUUUGCUCAUUAUUAUACAUUAGUUCCAUUGUGACUGCUAAAGCUAGAAGAGAGGGAGAUUUCAUAUACAGACUUAUACAUACAUGUAUAUAUUUUUUAUACUGUAAUUAAGUUGAUGCAAGUCAAGAAUGUAACAUCAUCAGUGACAAAGUAUAUAAUUUUAAAAGUGUUCAAA